GGGUUGUGAGGUUAAGCGACUAAGCGUACACGGUGGAUGCCCUGGCAGUCAGAGGCGAUGAAGGGCGUGCUAAUCUGCGAUAAGCGCCGGUAAGGUGAUAUGAACCGUUAUAACCGGCGAUACCCGAAUGGGGAAACCCAGUGUGAUUCGUCACACUAUCAUUAACUGAAUCCAUAGGUUAAUGAGGCGAACCGGGGGAACUGAAACAUCUAAGUACCCCGAGGAAAAGAAAUCAACCGAGAUUCCCCCAGUAGCGGCGAGCGAACGGGGAGGAGCCCAGAGCCUGAAUCAGCAUGUGUGUUAGUGGAAGCGUCUGGAAAGACGCGCGAUACAGGGUGACAGCCCCGUACACAAAAGCGUAUGUGCUGUGAGCUCGAUGAGUAGGGCGGGACACGUGGUAUCCUGUCUGAAUAUGGGGGGACCAUCCUCCAAGGCUAAAUACUCCUGACUGACCGAUAGUGAACCAGUACCGUGAGGGAAAGGCGAAAAGAACCCCGGCGAGGGGAGUGAAAAAGAACCUGAAACCGUGUACGUACAAGCAGUGGGAGCACCCUUUGGGGUGUGACUGCGUACCUUUUGUAUAAUGGGUCAGCGACUUAUAUUCUGUAGCAAGGUUAACCGAAUAGGGGAGCCGGAGGGAAACCGAGUCUUAAUUGGGCGUUAAGUUGCAGGGUAUAGACCCGAAACCCGGUGAUCUAGCCAUGGGCAGGUUGAAGGUUGGGUAACACUAACUGGAGGACCGAACCGACUAAUGUUGAAAAAUUAGCGGAUGACCUGUGGCUGGGGGUGAAAGGCCAAUCAAACCGGGAGAUAGCUGGUUCUCCCCGAAAGCUAUUUAGGUAGCGCCUCGUGAAUUCAUCUCCGGGGGUAGAGCACUGUUUCGGCUAGGGGGUCAUCCCGACUUACCAACCCGAUGCAAACUGCGAAUACCGGAGAAUGUUAUCACGGGAGACACACGGCGGGUGCUAACGUCCGUCGUGAAGAGGGAAACAACCCAGACCGCCAGCUAAGGUCCCAAAGUCAUGGUUAAGUGGGAAACGAUGUGGGAAGGCCCAGACAGCCAGGAUGUUGGCUUAGAAGCAGCCAUCAUUUAAAGAAAGCGUAAUAGCUCACUGGUCGAGUCGGCCUGCGCGGAAGAUGUAACGGGGCUAAACCAUGCACCGAAGCUGCGGCAGCGACACUAUGUGUUGUUGGGUAGGGGAGCGUUCUGUAAGCCUGUGAAGG
rnacentral:rRNA from 1 species